CAGGAACCAGCUGGGCUGUGCUCACAGGAUACUGCAAAGGCAACUGGACUGGACCACCGAAACCUCAGAGUGACCAAAGAGCUCAUGGCAGAAGAUUAUGAUGCCCCUGCGCUCGCCCUGCUCAUGGCUGGCACUCAGACAACAUCCUCAACAUUGCAAUGGGGCCAUCCUGCUGCUGCUGAAGGACCCUAAGAAUCAAAGGCACAGCACAAACCAGGUGAGGCAUGGGGGUCAAGGUAAAGCCGACAUCAGCAGUGAGAUCCAGGUCUGACUUAUCC